CGGCGUCGAGCGGCGGACGGGUGAGUAAUGCCUAGGAAAUUGCCCUGAUGUGGGGGAUAACCAUUGGAAACGAUGGCUAAUACCGCAUAAUACCUUCGGGUCAAAGAGGGGGACCUUCGGGCCUCUCGCGUCAGGAUAUGCCUAGGUGGGAUUAGCUAGUUGGUGAGGUAAUGGCUCACCAAGGCGACGAUCCCUAGCUGGUCUGAGAGGAUGAUCAGCCACACUGGAACUGAGACACGGUCCAGACUCCUACGGGAGGCAGCAGUGGGGAAUAUUGCACAAUGGGCGCAAGCCUGAUGCAGCCAUGCCGCGUGUGUGAAGAAGGCCUUCGGGUUGUAAAGCACUUUCAGUCGUGAGGAAGGUAGUGUAGUUAAUAGCUGCAUUAUUUGACGUUAGCGACAGAAGAAGCACCGGCUAACUCCGUGCCAGCAGCCGCGGUAAUACGGAGGGUGCGAGCGUUAAUCGGAAUUACUGGGCGUAAAGCGCAUGCAGGUGGUUUGUUAAGUCAGAUGUGAAAGCCCGGGGCUCAACCUCGGAAUAGCAUUUGAAACUGGCAGACUAGAGUACUGUAGAGGGGGGUAGAAUUUCAGGUGUAGCGGUGAAAUGCGUAGAGAUCUGAAGGAAUACCGGUGGCGAAGGCGGCCCCCUGGACAGAUACUGACACUCAGAUGCGAAAGCGUGGGGAGCAAACAGGAUUAGAUACCCUGGUAGUCCACGCCGUAAACGAUGUCUACUUGGAGGUUGUGGCCUUGAGCCGUGGCUUUCGGAGCUAACGCGUUAAGUAGACCGCCUGGGGGAGUACGGUCGCAAGAUUAAAACUCAAAUGAAUUGACGGGGGCCCGCACAAGCGGUGGAGCAUGUGGUUUAAUUCGAUGCCACGCGAAGAACCUUACCUACUCUUGACAUCCAGAAGAACUUUCCAUAGAUGGAUUGGUGCCUUCGGGAACUCUGAGACAGGUGCUGCAUGGCUGUCGUCAGCUCCUGUUGUGAAAUGGUGGGUUAAGUCCC
rnacentral:rRNA from 1 species